rnacentral:rRNA from 1 species
AGUGAACGCUGGCGGUAGGCCUAACACAUGCAAGUCGAACGGCAGCACAGGAGAGCUUGCUCUCUGGGUGGCGAGUGGCGGACGGGUGAGGAAUACAUCGGAAUCUACUCUGUCGUGGGGGAUAACGUAGGGAAACUUACGCUAAUACCGCAUACGACCUAGGGGUGAAAGCAGGGGACCUUCGGGCCUUGCGCGAUUGAAUGAGCCGCUGUCGGAUUAGAUAGUUGGCGGGGUAAAGGCCCACCAAGGCGACGAUCCGUAGCUGGUCUGAGGGGAUGAUCAGCCACACUGGAACUGAGACACGGUCCAGACUCCUACGGGAGGCAGCAAUGGGGAAUAUUGGACAAUGGGCGCAAGCCUGAUCCAGCCAUACCGCGUGGGUGAAGAAGGCCUUCGGGUUGUAAAGCCCUUUUGUUGGGAAAGAAAUCCAGCUGGCUAAUACCCGGUUGGGAUGACGGUACCCAAAGAAUAAGCACCGGCUAACUUCGUGCCAGCAGCCGCGGUAA